GGAUGGAAUUGGGGCAACCUCAGAUGGAAUUUGGGCCACCUGGGAUGGACCCUGGGCAACCUCAGAUGGACCUUGGGCCACCUGGGAUGGAAUUUGGGCAACAUCAGAAGGAGCUUGGGCCCCUUGGGAUUGAUCUUGGGCCACCUGGGAUGGACCUCGGGCAACCUCAGAAGGGCCUUGGGCAACCUCAGAAGAACCUUGAGCCACCUGGGAUGGAACUUGGGCAACCUCAGAAGGGCCUUGGGCAACCUCAGAAGAACCUUGAGCCACCUGGGAUGGAACUUGGGCAACUUUGAAUGGGCCUUGGGCAACCUCGGAUGGAAUUUGGGCAACCUCGGAUGGAGCUUGGGCCACUCUGGACCACCUCGGAUGGACCCUGGGCAAUGCUGGAUGAGCCUUGGAUGGACCUUGGGCCACCUUGGAUGGACCUUGGGCCACCUUGGAUGACCCUCAGGCCACUCUGAACCACCUGGAAUGACCCUUGGACCACCAGGAAUGACCCUUGGACCACCUGGAGUGACCCUUGGGCCACCCUGGACCACCAGGAAUGACCCUCAGGCCACCUCGGCCGAUCCCCUCCCCCCUCCAGCCCCUCCCGGGGGCGUCCGUCCGGCCUGGCCAAAGUCUGGGCAAACGUCCCCGGCAGCGGCCGAACUCCGGCGGUCACUCGGAAUUCCGGCUGAACUCCGGCCGGACUCCGGCGGUCACUCGGAAUUCCGGCCGGACAUUCCGGCGGUCGCUCCCCAAGGGCUGAAUUCUGGCCAGACAUCCCGGCGGUCACUCCGGAUUCCGGCCGGACGUCCCGGCGGUCACUCCGGAUUCCGGCCGGACAUCCCGGCGGUCACUCAGAAUUCCAGCCGGACAUCCCGGCGGUCACUCAGAAUUCCAGCCGGACAUCCCGGCGGUCACUCAGAAUUCCGGCCGGACAUCCCGGCGGUCACUCAGAAUUCCGGCCGGACGUCCCGGCGGUCGCUCCGGAAGGGGCCGGACUGCGGCCGGACUCGGCUCCCCACGCCGCCCUCAGGGCUCGAGCGCCUCCGGCGGCGGCGACGGCGUCCGAGCAGGGGACGGCGGCGGCGCCGGGAAGGGCGCGGCGGCCGGAGGCGGGCCGGGCGAGCCGGGCGUGUCCGGGGGCGGCCGGAGCGAGAAGAAGAAGGGGCACUGGUGGAUGAAGAGUUCGAUGAUUGUCUGGUAGGUUCUGGUGGCCGUCAGCGCGUCCAUGGUGCUGAAGUCCGGCCGCAUCAGCGUCGGCCAGAAGCAGAUGGACAGGUUCUCGCUGGUCAUCAGGUUGACGCGGUGCUGCUGGCUGACCCUGGGGGGGGACAACACCACAGUGACCCCUCGGAGGUGGACAACGGCAGAGUGACCGCUCAGGGGUCAGCAGAUCCCAAAAACCCCAAAAUACCAAAAAUUCCCAACAAAAAUGGACAGAAAAUGACCCAAAAACCCUCCAGGAGAGGUUCCUGCUGACCCUGGGGGUGAACAACACCACAGUGACCCCUCGGAGGUGGACAACGGCAGAGUGACCACUCAGGGGUCAGCAGAUCCCAAAAAACCCCAAAAUACCAAAAAUUCCCACCAAAAUAGCCCAAAAAAUGACCCAAAAACCCUCCAGGAGAGGUUCCUGCUGACCCUGGGGGUGGACAACACCACAGUGACCACUCGGAGGUGGACAACGGCAGAGUGACCACUCAAUGGUCAGCAGAUCCCAAAAACCCCAAAAUACCAAAAAUUCCCACCAAAAUAGCCCAAAAAAUGACCCAAAAACCCUCCAGGAGAGGUUCCUGCUGACCUGGGGGUGGACAACACCCAGGUGACCGCUCAGAGGUCAGCAGAUCCCAAAAAACCCAAAAUACCAAAAAUUCCCAAAAAAAUGGACCAAAAAUGAUCCAAAACCCUCCAGGAGAGGUUCCUGGUGACCAUCAGGACGACCAUGAGGUGGACAAUGGCAGAGUGACCACCUAAUGGUCAGCAGAUCCCAAAAAACCCCAAAAUACCAAAAAUUCCCACCAAAAAUGGACCAAAAAGGACCCAAAAUCCUUCAGGAGAGGUUCCUGCUGACCAUCAGGGCGAGCAUGGGGUGGACAACAGCAGUGACCACUUGGUGGUGGACAAAGUGACCACUUGAUGGUCAGGAGAUCCCAAAAAACCCCAAAAUACCAAAAAUUCCCACCAAAAUUAUCCAAAAAAUGACUCCAAAACCCUCCAGGAGAGGUUCCUGCUGACCCUGGGGGUGGACAACACCACAGUGACCACUCGGUGGUCAGCAGAUCCCAAAAAACCCCAAAACUGCAAAAAUUCCCACCAAAAAUGGACAAAAAAUGACCCCAAAACCCUUCAGGAGAGGUUCCUGGUGACCAUCAGGGUGCCAUGGGGUGGACAAUGGCAGAGUGACCACCUAAUGGUCAGCAGAUCCCAAAAAACCCCAAAAUACCAAAAAUUCCCACCAAAAAUGACCCAAAAACCCUCC
rnacentral:lncRNA from 1 species